rnacentral:lncRNA from 1 species
CAAAUGAGGUCAACAGGCUUCUCUUCAACUUUCUCGUUGCCUUCUGUGAGAAGGCAGAGACAAGAACAUGUUCACAAGUUUGGGGUCAGUCUGGUCUACGUGGAGAGUUCUAGCGGGGCGUGGCGGGGGAGAAGAAGAGGCGGAAGCCUGUACUUAAGGUUUUAAAAUUUUAAUUUGUCAGUUUUUCAUCACUGGGGAUGGAACCAUAAGCUCGGUUGCUUUAAGAACCUUAGGAAAGCACUCUGCCACAGAGCUAUGGCCCCAGCCUAGUAGUCUCUUCCUUAUACACAGGUAGGUGUGGUCUUGCUCUGUUGCAUAGGACCAUAUAGAUCUCCAUCCCCAAAGUUACAGCUGAUGAGCGCUCGAGUGAGCCCUUGAGCGGGCAGGACAGCUGGUACGCAGGUCAGUUUACAGCCUACCAGGGAGCCUGGUGCAAAAGUUCUGUGUGAAAAGCCAACUGUGAUGAGAUCCACCGACCAGAUGUUUUGCCUCAAGAGUCCGAACCCGUCACAUGAGAGAAUUAGUCAGCGGAAUAGAUGCCAAAAGACACACAGAGAGCGUGAGGCAGAAAGUGAACCACCGUCAUUACUGGGAUCAAGUUAACCUCACGGAUUAAGACAGGCCUCCCUCCCUGUCUGUUUGUUCUGGUCAAUCCCCACCAGGGAAGGGAGUUUUCAUGUCCCUCACAUCCAUAUUUUAGCAUGAAACAAAAUUUCAAAUGCCAACACAUUCUGGUUCCAACUUGGAGCUUUGGACAUAACGUCUUGUGCCACUGCCUGCCUACCUUUAAAAAAAUAUUGCUUAUCACAUCACACUAGUGCUAGGCACAGGGCCUGGUACAUGCCUGGAGACCAGUGAAUAACGCAGAAGUGCCCUCUGCCUAUGUCGGGUUGAAUGCCUGUGGUGUUGGUGGAAACCUCCGAGUCCUAACGCCAAAACGAUGCCAACAGCCAAUAGCUGAGCAGAAGAGACAUCAGAGUGGGAGUUCGACCUCUGAUUCUGACACCUUAAUGGAGAUUUUUCUCAACGUUAAGAACCAACACAGAGGCUUCUCACAAGUUUCUCACGAGAUGCUGCCCUUCAGAAGCCUCUGGAGCUGGGCAUUCCUUGCCUCACACCACUGAGAGAGGAAACACAAGUUACCAACGCACUCACGGCUAGUAAGAAUCAACCAGGCAGCUGGCAUUCAGAACUCCUCUCCCGGCCUGUGAUCCUCCUGAAGGCAGAGUUCUGGUCACUUCCAGGAUCAAAAGAAAGCUGAGGACGGAUGGGCAGUAAUCCUGUCACACACCCUACAUGAGGGUGAAGGACUGGACGGGCUGCGGCCGGCUUUGCUUUGAGGGCCGCUGCACCGCACAGGAUCUGGAGUGCACAGGAGUUGUGGGGUUGCCAGGCCUGGGCGUCCCUCCAUUAUUUAGCGAUGAGUCUCACAUAGCCCAGAUUACCCUCAGAUUCACUGUGGAGCUGAGGACGAUCUUGAAAUCCCGAUUCUCCUGCCUCCAGCCUGUAAGUGAGCACAGAGAAGCACCCCCACCUCUGCACGAUGCACAGUUUAAACGGCAGCCAUAGGCCCGAUGUCAACGGGUAUUUUGGAUAUCCAUUUGACAUGAGGUCCAUGAAAUCACUUUGUUUUGUGAAUCGGCAAACUGUGUUAGUCAAAUUUCUAUUCUUAUAAUAAAAUACGAGAAACUGUGGGUUUUUUUUUAAGAGUUUUGUCUUUCUUGUAAUUAUAGAGGCU